rnacentral:rRNA from 1 species
CUGAGAUUAAACAUAU